UAGGCUGAUUCCUGAGCAAGUCUAAGCCAUUACGAAGCUGAAAGCUCCGCUGUUGAACAAACUCCAAUGAACUCCCUAACUUCAAAUCAUCCCUAACGGACCACCGCCAACGAGCUCUCUCAUUUCCUUGCUUUAACACCGACAUGAUUGAACUCUGUAACACCAUAGACGCUAACGCAAACACAAAAAUAACCAAAAAUAUGCACAAAUAUAACCACGAUCUCUCUCUAAAACAAUAAAAAAUCCUUGCUUUAACACCGACAUGAUUGAGCUCUGUAACACCAUAGACGCUAACGCAAACACAAAAAUAACCAAAAAUAUGCACAAAUAUAACCACGAUCUCUCUCUAAAACAAUAAAAAAUCAGCUU
rnacentral:lncRNA from 1 species